CAACAAAAAAGGCAUUAAAAUUUAGACUGAAGAACUCCUGAGUGGACUUGAAUCUAGCUAUUAUGGGAACCUUGUGGUUGUUCUUAUUGGUCGCCGUCGUACACGUGUUCUUGCAAGAAGUUAAUGGACAAAGGUUAUUAUUCGGUAGUGGUAUUUCAUCCUGCGAUAAUAAGGUUUUGAGGGAUCAAAUCUGCCCAACUACUGAUGAUAAAGUCGACUAUAAAUAUGCUCGCAUCAAAACUUUUAAUGGCA